rnacentral:rRNA from 1 species
AUUGAACGCUGGCGGCAGGCCUAACACAUGCAAGUCGGACGGUAGCACAGAGGAGCUUGCUCCUCGGGUGACGAGUGGCGGACGGGUGAGUAAUGUCUGGGGAUCUGCCCGAUAGAGGGGGAUAACCACUAGAAACGGUGGCUAAUACCGCAUAACGUCGCAAGACCAAAGAGGGGGACCUUCGGGCCUCUCACUAUCGGAUGAACCCAGAUGGGAUUAGCUAGUAGGCGGGGUAAUGGCCCACCUAGGCGACGAUCCCUAGCUGGUCUGAGAGGAUGACCAGCCACACUGGAACUGAGACACGGUCCAGACUCCUACGGGAGGCAGCAGUGGGGAAUAUUGCACAAUGGGCGCAAGCCUGAUGCAGCCAUGCCGCGUGUAUGAAGAAGGCCUUCGGGUUGUAAAGUACUUUCAGCGGGGAGGAAGGCGAUAAGGUUAAUAACCUUGUCGAUUGACGUUACCCGCAGAAGAAGCACCGGCUAACUCCGUGCCAGCAGCCGCGGUAA